GUCGGUGUUUAUGGCGCAGAGGUCACACCCGUUCCCAUUCCGAACACGGAAGUUAAGCUCUGCCGCGAAGACGAUACUUGGCUGGUGACGGCCCGGGAAAACUAUUUCAAUGCCGAC
rnacentral:rRNA from 1 species